rnacentral:rRNA from 1 species
UACGAAGGGGGCUAGCGUUGCUCGGAAUCACUGGGCGUAAAGCGCACGUAGGCGGAUUGCUAAGUCAGGGGUGAAAUCCUGGAGCUCAACUCCAGAACUGCCUUUGAUACUGGCGACCUUGAGUCCGGGAGAGGUGAGUGGAACUGCGAGUGUAGAGGUGAAAUUCGUAGAUAUUCGGAAGAACACCAGUGGCGAAGGCGGCUCACUGGUCCGGUACUGACGCUGAGGUGCGAAAGCGUGGGGAGCAAACAGG